GUGCUCGCUUUGGCAGCACGUAUACUAUAAUUGGAAUGAUACAGAGAAGAUUAGCAUGGCCCCUGUGCAAGGAUGACACGCAAAUUUGUGAGGCGUUCAUAUUUUUA